rnacentral:rRNA from 1 species
UACGAAGGGGGCUAGCGUUGCUCGGAAUGACUGGGCGUAAAGAGCUCGUAGGCGGCUUGUCGCGUCGACUGUGAAAUCCCGCGGCUCAACUGCGGGUCUGCAGCCGAUACGGGCAGGCUAGAGUUCGGUAGGGGAGACUGGAAUUCCUGGUGUAGCGGUGAAAUGCGCAGAUAUCAGGAAGAACACCCGUGGCGAAAGCGGCUCUCUGGAACGGUACUGACGCUGAGACGCGAAAGCGUGGGGAGCGAACAGG